rnacentral:lncRNA from 1 species
AAUGAGGUUGCGGAGGUGGAGGAGUUGGGUUAUAUACUUGUUAGGUUGGUCAUUCCUCCACCUGAAAUUUGGAUGGUUCUUCCAUCCAGGGUUGUAAGUACCCGAAAAAGGAUUAUUGAAAGAUUUUUGAUAGGUAUUCAUAACAUUGGCCUGAUCGUGCAAAACUUCCUUGAAUGCGGGUAUUGUGGGGCAAUCAAUGGUGAGAUGGCCAGGCAUCUCACAAAUCCUACAACACUCGUUGUUAUGUUCUACGGUCUUGACGGGUUCAAUCCUUCUAAGUUCAAUUUCCUCUACCUUCCUAGUAAGGGCUGCC